rnacentral:ribozyme from 1 species
UCAUCCUUCCAAGUUUGACAGUCUUUUUAGUAAAACCUGGAGUAAAACAAAACAAUUGCAUUAUUAAAGGGGGGAAAAAAUGAGAAACACACACUGACAAUUUCUUUUCUUUUCUCCUCUAUAAAUUUUGAACAUUCAAAAAAA